rnacentral:rRNA from 1 species
GACGAACGCUGGCGGCGUGCUUAACACAUGCGAGUCGAACGGAAAGGCCCUGCUUUUGUGUGGUGCUCGAGUGGCGAACGGGUGAGUAACACGGGAGUAACCUGCCCUUGACUUUGGGAUAAAUUCAGGGAACUGGGGCUAAUACCCGAUAGGAGCUCCUGCUGCAUGGUGGGGGUUGGAAAGUUUCGGCGGUUGGGGAUGGACUCGCGGCUUAUCAGCUUGUUGGCGGGGUAGUGGCUUACCAAGGCUUUGCCGGGUAGCCGGCCUGAGAGGGGGGCCGGCCAGAUUGGGACUGGAAUACGGCCCAGACUCCUACGGGAGGCAGCAGUGGGGAAUGUUGCACAGUGGGCGGAGGCCUGAUGCAGCAACGCCGCGUGCGGGAUGACGGCCUGCGGGUUGGAAACCGCUUUCGCCUGUGACGAGGCGUGAGUGACGGUAAUGGGUAAAGAAGCACCGGCUAACUACGUG